rnacentral:rRNA from 1 species
AGUUCGAUUCUGGCUCAGAUUGAACGCUGGCCGGGAUGCUUUACACAUGCAAGUCGAACGGCAGCACGGACUUCGGUCUGGUGGCGAGUGGCGAACGGGUGAGUAAUGUAUCGGAACGUGCACUAGUAGCGGGGGAUAACUACGCGAAAGCGUAAUACACCGCAUACGCCCUUCAGGGGAAGCGGGGACCUUCGGGCCUCGCACUAUUAGAGCGGCCGAUAUCGGAUUAGCUAGUUGGUGGGGGAGUAACGGCUCACCAAGGCGACGAUCCGUAGCUGGUUUGGGAGGACGACCAGCCACACUGGGACUGAGACACGGCCCAGACUCCUGGGAGGCAGCAGUGGGUACUGGACAAUGGAAACCCUGAUCCAGCCAUCCCGCGUGCGAUGAAGGCCUUCGGGUUGUAAAGCACUUUUGGCAGGAAAAAGAAACGGCACCAGGAUAAUACCGAUGCGGCCUGGCAAUUCUACCGUCGCGCCUGGCUAACUACGGUACCGGCAACCGCCGACAAGCCCACCGUAGGGUGCAAGCGUUAAUCGGAAUUACUGGGCGUAAAGCGUGCGCAGGCGGUUCGGGAAAGAAAGAUGUGAAAUCCCAGAGCAACUUUGGAACUGCAUUUUUAACUACCGAGCUAGAGUGUGUCAGAGGGAGGUGGAAUUCCGCGUGUAGCAGUGAAGUGCGUAGAUAUGCGGAGGAACACCGAUGGCGAAGGCAGCCUCCUGGGAUAACACUGACGCUCAUGCACAGCGUGAGGCAAACAGGAUUAGAUGCCCUGGUAGUCCGCCUAAACGAUGUCAACUAGCUGUUGGGGCCUUCGGGCCUUGGUAGCGCAGCUAACGCGUGAAGUUGACCGCCAGGGAGUACGGUCGCAAGAUUAAAACUCAAAGGAAUUGACGGGGACCCGCACAAGCGGUGGAUGAUGUGGAUUAAUUCGAUGCAACGCGAAAAGCCCCUUUACCCUUGGCAUGUCUGGAAUCCCGAAGAGAUUUGGGAGUGCUCGCAAGAGAACCGGAACACAGGUGCUGCAUGGCUGUCGUCAGCUCGUGUCGUGAGAUGUUGGGUUAGUCCGCAACGAGCGCAACCCUUGUCAUUAGUUGCUACGAAAGGGCACUCAAUGCGGAACUGCCAUUGACAAACCGGAGGAAGGUGGGGAUGACGUCAAGUCCUCAUGGCCCUUAUGGGUGGGGCUUCACACGUCAUACAAUGGUCGGGACGGUCGCCAACCCGGGAGCCAAUCCCAGCUUCGAUCAUGAAGUCCGGAUCGCAGUCUGCAACUCGACUGCGUGCAAAGUCGGAAUCGCUAGUAAUCGCGGAUCGGCAUGUCGCGGUGAAUACGGUCCCGGGUCUUGUACACCGCCCGUCACACCAUGGGAGUGGGUUUUACCAGAAGUAGUUAGCCUAACCGUAAGGAGGGCGAUUACCACGGUAGGAUUCAUGUGACUGGGGUGAAGUCGUAACAAGGUAA